rnacentral:rRNA from 1 species
AGAGUUUGAUCCUGGCUCAGGACGAACGCKGGCGGCGUGCUUAACACAUGCAAGUCGAACGGUGAAGCCCUUCGGGGUGGAUCAGUGGCGAACGGGUGAGUAACACGUGAGCAAUCUGCCCCCGACUCUGGGAUAACUUCGGGAAACCGGAGCUAAUACCGGAUAUGACACACGAUCGCAUGGUCUGUGGGUGGAAAGAUUUUUCGGUUGGGGAUGGACUCGCGGCCUAUCAGCUUGUUGGUGAGGUAAUGGCUCACCAAGGCGACGACGGGUAGCCGGCCUGAGAGGGUGACCGGCCACACUGGGACUGAGACACGGCCCAGACUCCUACGGGAGGCAGCAGUGGGGAAUAUUGCACAAUGGGCGCAAGCCUGAUGCAGCAACGCCGCGUGAGGGACGACGGCCUUCGGGUUGUAAACCUCUUUUGGCAGGGAAGAAGCGAAAGUGACGGUACCUGCAGAAAAAGCACCGGCUAACUACGUGCCAGCAGCCGCGGUAAUACGUAGGGUGCAAGCGUUGUCCGGAAUUAUUGGGCGUAAAGAGCUCGUAGGCGGUUUGUCGCGUCUGCUGUGAAAACGCGAGGCUCAACCUCGCGCCUGCAGUGGGUACGGGCAGACUAGAGUGCGGUAGGGGAGAUUGGAAUUCCUGGUGUAGCGGUGGAAUGCGCAGAUAUCAGAAGGAACACCGAUGGCGAAGGCAGAUCUCUGGGCCGUUACUGACGCUGAGGAGCGAAAGCGUGGGGAGCGAACAGGAUUAGAUACCCUGGUAGUCCACGCCGUAAACGUUGGGAACUAGAUGUGGGGUCCAUUCCACGGAUUCCGUGUCGCAGCUAACGCAUUAAGUUCCCCGCCUGGGGAGUACGGCCGCAAGGCUAAAACUCAAAUGAAUUGACGGGG